UUUCUUUUUCCAUUGUUAUUUCCAAACCAGCAACUAUUUAGAAAUGGAGUUGCUGCAGUUUCUCUUCGUUCUAAGAAUAAUGAUCUCAAAGGACAAGCAGAGCAGAAAACAGUAUCUACUUUUCAUCUUUAACUUCAGAGCAAUGAGUGGUAGUUCCCUCAGGCUUAAUAGAGGUUUUUAGCCUGCCCUGCAUGACUGAGGUGCCAAAAAACCUGGGCUAUUGCCAGAGGUUACAGAGAGUAACAAGCAUGAUUACAGGAUUAAUGAAGGAUUAUAGGAUUAGGGGGAGAUGUUUUAACUUUGUCAAGAGAAGCUUAAGGGGCUGAUUCUUUGUGUGAUUUGACAGGAGUGCAGGUUGGAGGCCAGCUGCAAUUCAAGGCACUGUAGGAGAGCCUCUGUCCAUGGAGAGCCCAUGCUUGCACAGAUCUGGCAUGGGGCCUUAUUGGGUUUUGUUGCAUGUAUGAAUUCACCUGUUUCCAGGAGAGCUGAAAUUGGACAUUAGUGGAGUGAGUGGUCUAACAUUGUGACAGGCUGCCCAAAGAAGUAGUGGUCUCCCCAUCUUUGGAGGUUUUUAAGAGAUGUACUGAUGUGGCACUAAGGGGCAUGGUUUAGCAAUGGGACUCAGGCUCUGGAGUGUGCCCAGAGAAGGGCAGUGAAGCUUAGUGGAGCGUCUGGAGUACAAGUCUUAUGGGGAGAGACUGAGGGAACUGUGAUUCUUCAGUCUGGAGAAGAGGAGGCUCAGGGGAGACCUUAUUGCUCUCUACAAUUAACCUGAAAAGAGGUUGUAGUGACCUGACGGUCAGCCUCUUCUCUGAGGUAACAGUGAUAGGACAAGAGGUAAUGGCCUUAAGGUGUGUCAGGGGAGGUUCAGAUUGGAUAUUAUGAAAAAACUUUUUCUCUGUAAGAAUGGUGAGGUACUGUAACAGGCUGGUGGAGUUACUGUCCCUGGAGGUGCUCAAGAACCAUGUGGAUGUGGCACUGCAGGACAUAGUGUGCAUGGUGGUGAUGGGUUGAUGGUUGUACAGCUUGAUCCAAGUGAUCUUUUCCAACCUUGAUAAUUCUAUGGUUCUAUCUAAUGCUGAUGUUUUUGCUGAUAGACCUUCAACAGUUAACAGGAACAGUUAAGUGUUGCUGCCUCUCAGUGUUCCUGUACGCUGGUUCUUGCUUCUAGUAUUGAUUAGCUGGUUUUAGUGCACUUAGUUGGGACCCCUUCCACAUAAUAGCUUCUAGGCUGCACCUUUUAUCUCUGGAACAGAUUUAGUUACUUCCAAGAAGUGAAAAAUUUCUCUCCUCCUUCCCAAGUGCUAACUAAUUGCUCCCUUUCUAAAGACACAUGCUACCUAAGUGAAAAUAGAAAACCCUAAAAGGCAAACCAGGAGAAAUUUUGCUCCCAUUGCACCCGUGACAUUCAUCGACACUUGCUAAAUGUUUCUGAAGACCAACCAGUGGAUGUGAGCACAGCGAGACGGUGGGUGGUGCGUUUCAGCGGUGGUGGUCACCUCCACUGGUGCAUGUUUUAAUGAGCACAGCAUGCAGGCUUUCGUUUAUAGCUACUGAAAACACAGCUAAUAGUGGUGGCUGUGUAGAAAAAGUGUUUUGUAGCUGAGAAUUUGCUCUAUCAAACUGUGUUAAUUUGCUUUUUGUAUCUGUUGCAAUUUCUAUGAAAACAAAUGAGCAAUUCUUUCAGAGCACCCUAUGUAUGAUUGAAGUAGUGUAGAACAGGAAAAAUAAAAAACCUUGAGAACCAUGUCUCUCUGCCUUAACUGCGAAAAUAAACAACUCAUUUGUCCCAUGUGAAAAGGAAUUAAAACUUCUCACUGAGUCUUAAUCUUGAGUCUGUGUUUUCUCUCUGCUUCAUAAUCUCCGCAGAACAAGCCGGCAGCAAUUCUUGAGCCUUUAGGUCCACAUCCUGAGAAAGUUCAAAGCACUUCCUUCACAUAAUGGUUUUUUUUCCUUUCCAAGCGGUCGUGCAGGAAGAGGUGAGACCCACCAAACCACAGUUUGCCUCGCUCCCUGUGAGCAAUGCUGUUGAUAUAACGACCCAGCUCAGACAGGGAAGGAUUUCUAGUGGCUGCCACUGAUUUCCUACAGGAGGGCACUGUGGAAGGAAGGAGAGGUGGUACGCAUGGGGAAAGAUCAAAGUGCUUUCAGAGAUCUGCAGUAGUAUCGCAUUCUUCUUUCGAUUACGUGAGUGCAGCUGAAGACCUGGAGCAGCAGUGAUGAGGUGCAUGCACUGCAGCUACUCCCUUCCCUAUUCUCAUAGGAAGCUCAUGCGUUGAGGGAAGAAGUUCCCAGAGCUUUCUGUGCUGGUGAAAGAGGCAGCUGUGCUAAUUCUGAUACCGAGUAUUCUCUUACAAACUGAGAUGCUGCAAAACUCCUCAGAAGAGCAGAAAAGGAAGACUUACACCUCUGUCUGACACAGUUAAAAUCUCUCCCUGUGCACUUAUCAGCUUGCAUAUCUCUGUGAAACUCUGUGCUUCAGCGAGGGCUACAUCACUAGGCAACUACUGCAAAGAAACAUGAGUUCUACAGGAUUUCAGGGAAGAAUUCUUCCUCUACUUUUGUUCACUUCUGAGUUUGUUUCUUGGCACCCUCUUCCUUAAUGUGAGGUCAGCCAGAGUACUUUCACAGUUUUUCCUGUCUGUUUUGUCGUUUGUUUCUGUUUCGCAGGCUUACAGCUCCGAAGUCUUUCCAAGAGAGAAGAGAAACCAAACUGGAAGAUGAGAGCAUUGCACAGGCACCAAAUGCUGUUUCUGUUCAACCUUUGUUUCAUCGAGAAAAGUGGGUGUCUAAAAUCAAAGCACGCAUUACUUCCCAUCACUUACUUGUAAUCUGAGACUAGUGUUUUAGUGGAGUCUGCUGCCAGACUACAGAGAAAAGGAAACUUAGUGGAUCACCAGGUUUUUCAGCCUCUGAGAAAGAUAACCAACCAAGCACCAAGAGACAGGAUAGAAGCAUGAAGGUGGUAAUUAACCACAUAGCUGAUUUUGGACUGUUACCAUGCUACCAGAAAAACAUGCUGGGAGAAGCCAUCAUCCACCGUGAAUGAGUUUUCUUGUAUAUGGAAUCCACUUGUUUAAUAGGGUCACUUUAAACAAUAACAGAAUCACAAAAUCACAGAGUUGUAGGAGUUGGAAAGGACCUCUAGAAAUCAUCGAGUCCAACCUCUUCUGCUAAAGGAGUUCCCUGCAGCAGGUCACACAGGAAAGUGUCCAGGUCGGUUUUGAAUAUCUCCAGAGAAGGAGACUCCACAACAUCUCUGGGCAGCCUGCUCCAAUGCUCUGCCACCCUCACAAUAAAGAAGUUCUUCCUCAUGUACGUAUGGAACUUCCUGUGUUCCAGUUUGUGCCUAUUUCUGUUGUCCUGUCACUGGGCUCUGCUGAAGGAGACUGGCCACAUCCACUUGACUCCUGCCCUUUAGAUAUUUAUCAACAGUGAUGAGAUCCCUCUCAGUCUUCUCCAGACGGAAUAGUCUCUCAGCCUUUCUUCAUAAGGGAGAUGCUCCAGGCCCCUAAUACUCUUUCUGGCCUUCCACUGGACUCUCUCAAGAAGAUCCCUGUCUUUCUUGAGUGAGGAGCCCAGAACUGGAUGCAGUACUCCAGAUGUGGCCUCACUGGGGCAAAGUAGCUGGGGAGGACCUCCUCCCUCAACCUGUUGUCCACACUUUUCAAUGAACCCCAACUUUUAGAGUCCAACUGGUCCCAGUAUUGUUCUGCCAAUGAGGAAAAGCUCCAGAGUGAAAAUGUUGGACUCUGAUUAUGCUUUGCUGUCAUUCAGCAGCACUCAUCCUUCCACCUCUGUCUUGAACAACUGUGUGACUGGUCUUUCCUCGCAGUAAUGAAUUAAACAGUGUAUAACCAAGUAGUUAUCAAUACAGAUUUUGUUCUCAGAGUUUCUUUGAACUUUAGUUUCAACUAGACAAUCCCUGGCACCAAAUCCAAGAAAAGAAAAACAUGAGGAAAAUAGUGAUGUAUGGGGAUUGGUUAUAUAUUCAUAAAGCCACUAAUCACAGUUUCUUUUCUCUCUCAUUUUUGCUAGGCUUUCUUUGUCUAUUUUCAGGUCUUAUCUCUAUAUGAACACUGAUAGCAGAUAAAUCAAGACAACAGCUUCCUUCAUUUUUAGGAGUUUUGUUAAAAUUGACUUUCUCCCUCUGACAUGAAUAUCAGUUUAUAUCUCAAUCAAAUCUGGAAUUGUAGUUUAGAGAGAAAAUACAUAAAAUAUGCGUAGAAGAUUUUCCUAUGUCAUCCCUCUCACAGACACUUUCUGUUACUUUUAGAUUUAUUUCAGAUUAUUGUUUACUUCGCAAUCAUUAAUAAUUUACAGAAGUAAAGGCUUUUGUUUGUUAGUGAUUUGUCAUAACUGGAAUAAUGAAAAUAAUUAUAUAUAUCUCCAGUUCUUCAGUUUUGUAAAGUUCUGCUAAACUCAAGUGUUCAAGCUGUAAUAUAUCUCUUCUACUUUGGGUCUUACCAUUGAAUGACCUGACCUUUUAAUAAAGAUUUUUGUUUCCUAUGGUGCUUGAUUUCUUUGGCUAAGUAAUAAAAAGUAUGUGACACUUAAGAGCUUCCUACUUCCCUACUCUCUCUUAUAGUAGAGUGCUUAUGUAAUGAAGAGUGAUUGCUUGCAAGUCCAGAGAAAGAAAUCCUAAGCAUAUCUGUAUCUUCCAGUUGAUGGGUAUUAAAAAAAAAAAAAAAAAAAAUAACCAAACUGCCUGUCAGCCUUGGGAAGAUAAAGAGGACAGAGCAGUGUGAAUGAAUUCAUCAGCAACAAAUGACAGCAAACUUGUCUGAUUUCCCUCUGUGACCAAGUAACAGACAUUAUGAAGAGUCAAGCAGCCGUAUCUAUCUGUCUGUCUGUGGUAUAUCUUGACUUCUGUGGUAUUUUUGAGGCUGCCUUUGACAAUUGUUACCUAGAUGUAUUUUGAUAACAUGCUAUAGUUGAAUGCACAGUAGUUGCAAAAUUCUAAAUAAUUAGACCAGAACAAAGUAAAAAUGAAAGGCUGUGCUAUUGGAGGUUAUAUAUUGAAUUGUUCCAAGUCGGGUUUUGAAUUUUUUUUUUUAACUAAUGACUCAGUUGAAGGAAAAGAAAAUAUCUAUUAAAUUUACAGACAUUAGAAAGCUGGCAGAAGUUAUAUAGGCACUAAAGGACAGGUUUUGACUUCUGUAUGAUCUUGAUAAAUUAGGUGUUUUAUAGAAAGACAGGUGAUAGUUCAAGAAGACAAGUGCUAAAUACUAAACUUUUAUAGCAAAGUGAUUGGUAAUGCAAAGACUGAAUAAGAACAACAGCAGUAUAAUUAAUCCCCUUGACAUCAGAUGAAGAUUAGUUGCAUAGGUUGUUGGAAGGGAAAAUGUCUUAUCACUGUUACUGCUUGUUCUAAAAAAAUGAUUGUUUUGCACUGGUCAUUGUAACAUAGAGUAACACUCAGCAGCAGACCCUCUCAGAGAGAACUGGGUUCUACUGUCUGCGCAGAAAGGCUGAGGUUACCUUAACUGGAGACUGGAAUCACUUAUGCAUGUUCUUGUGUUGAUAUCACAAGAAAUUUCCCUCCUUAUGAUUUCUUGCACUGCCACCGGUUAAGUUGUAAGGAGCUAAUUCUACUGCUGUCAAAGGAUUUCCU
rnacentral:lncRNA from 1 species